AUAGUACUCCCUCCGUUCUGAAUUACUUGUCUUAGAUUUGUCUAGAUACGGAUAUAUCUAGACUAGAUACAUCCAUAUCUAGACAAAUCUAAGACAAGUAAUUCAGAACGGGGGAGUAGUAU
rfam:Triticum aestivum genome assembly, contig: Triticum_aestivum_CS42_TGACv1_scaffold_093258_2AL